UACGUAGGGGGCGAGCGUUGUCCGGAUUUAUUGGGUGUAAAGAGCUCGUAGGCGGUUCGAUAAGUCGGACGUGAAAUCUCCACGCUCAACGUGGAGGGGCCGCUCGAUACUGUCGUGACUCGAGUCCGGUAGGGGAGUGUGGAAUUCCCGGUGUAGCGGUGAAAUGCGCAGAGAUCGGGAGGAACACCCGUAGCGAAGGCGGCACUCUGGGCCGGUACUGACGCUGAGGAGCGAAAGCGUGGGGAGCAAACAGG
rnacentral:rRNA from 1 species